rnacentral:rRNA from 1 species
UACAGAGGUCCCGAGCGUUGUUCGGAUUCACUGGGCGUAAAGGGUGCGUAGGCGGUUCUGCAAGUCUGAUGUGAAAUCUCCGGGCCCAACCCGGAAAUGGCAUUAGAAACUACAGGGCUAGAGGCUUGGAGGGGGAACUGGAAUUCUCGGUGUAGCAGUGAAAUGCGUAGAGAUCGAGAGGAACACCAGAGGCGAAGGCGGCGACCUGGACAGGCACUGACACUCAACUGCGAAAGCGUGGGGAGCAAACAGG